rnacentral:rRNA from 1 species
UACGAAGGGGGCUAGCGUUGUUCGGAAUUACUGGGCGUAAAGCGCACGUAGGCGGAUAUUUAAGUCAGGGGUGAAAUCCCAGAGCUCAACUCUGGAACUGCCUUUGAUACUGGGUAUCUUGAGUAUGGAAGAGGUAAGUGGAAUUGCGAGUGUAGAGGUGAAAUUCGUAGAUAUUCGCAGGAACACCAGUGGCGAAGGCGGCUUCCUGGACACCAACUGACGCUGAGACGCGAAAGCGUGGGGAGCAAACAGG